AUGGAGGAAAAAGCUACCCCUCUUCACCUCAGAAAAAGGCUCAGUGACCCAGUGUGGUUCAACAGCUUGGAGUCCAUGAACAACUGUAGUUCAAAACAGCAUAGUCAAGGUUUGGGGAACUCACAUAUGGGUAACACCAGCUUUAGGAGGGCAACUCUAGACUCCAUUGCCAGAGAAGCCACCCAUCGAGCAUUGGAGGAAUUCGGUUCCCCACAACUAAGGCAAAAACUGGCAGGCAACUGUCCUGAUAGAAGUCAUGACAUCAGGACAGGAGAGCAGCGCCGCUGUCGGUCUUGGUCUGGAUCACCAGUGAUACCAUGCAGUUCUAGAACCCUGCCCACUAAAGCAACAAUAAUGGACCAUGAGCGGAAUAGUCAGUUUUAUAGAAUUCCUAGGAGCCCUGCUACAGACCAACUGUCUAACCAUGCCAAACAAGCUUACUUUAACAUGUCACACUUAACCUCAAACACUCAGGAGGUCUCAAACCAAAGAGUGCAAGGGUAUAGGUAUCGCCCAAAUUUACCAUCUGGAAAGCCUACAGCUAUUCAACACGAACUACCAGCUAUGAUUGUAACUCAACCAUCAAACUAUCAACAAAUCAGUCAUUCCAUAAGUGAUAGUCCACGGCAACCCCACAGAGUUAAUUUCAACCUGGCCAACUUCAAAAAUAAGGUAGAAGAAGGAGCUAACCAACUGAGUGGAAGGGGCAGUGCAUCCCCAGCCACAAGUCCAGAGAUGGCUCGUAAACUAGCUGAAGAAGCCACCAAACUUUCCAUACUUAUGGAAGCCAGGAGGUCUCCAUCCCCAACCCUAUCAUCAACAGACACCGUAAGGUCUGACAGUCCCCAGUUGGGACAUUCAAGAGAGCCUCAGCUCUAUGCUAGCUUCCAGGGCCCUGGAACUCACUCUAAUUGCAACCUUUCUGUUCAGGAGCACAACUGGAAACAAGAGUCUAUAAAUACUUGUCACCACUCUAUUCAAACAACCCCUCUUUUGCCCCACAUUGGAAGUACAUCUCCAGCAGCUCCAGCAAGGUUGAACCGAUCAGGUGUAAUAUCAUCCUCUCCCAUACGAGACCCUCGGAUAGAGAUAACACAGUUGGUUUGGAAGGACAGCCCGACUUUGCAUCGGCACCUGCCUUCCCAGUACACAAGGGACAAUCAUACACCUAGCUAUGAGCGUAGGCAGUAUGGGACACUCAGAGGUCACAAAGACAGCCCAGAUAGCAGCAGGAGACCUUUUACAAGGCCUAACCUAGAGACACCAAGCUGGACCACUCAGCAAAAGCAUGGGAUAGAGGAAUGCUUAGCCAGAGAAAAGGGAAACAGGAGGGAGGUGGACAGUCAUAAGAGGAAUAGUCCAACAACACCAGUCUCCCAGGAGAACCAUUGUAGGGUCUCAGUGCAGAAAAAUGAGAUGAAAGCUGACACUAGGACUAACAAGGAGUGGAGUGGUACAGCAUCACAGAGCUCCAGUGGGGUCACAGGCAGCCUUAUAGAGAGCACGCUACAUGAGAAAGAUUGUAUAUCAUCAGAGACAUCUAGCAAAACCAGCCAGAAGAGUCCUGACUCUGGAAACACAGGCACACAGGUGAUCUUGGUACACAUCUUUAGGCUCAUCUCAUGCAUUGAUUUACUGUUUGAUUUUGCUGUCUGA
ensembl:lncRNA